GGCUUUACUCAGGCCCUGACUCCUCCAGGGAGUUUUCGAAAGGGCUUCAAAAGGGUUGCCGCCCAGGGAAGCAUUUGAGUAACAACCUAUUUCCAGCCAGAGUGGGGCGCUACUCUUGCAGGCUGGCCUCUCGCUGGCUCCAGUAGGGGGCAGCACAACACUGCGGGUGUGGGGGAAGGCUCCAGCCUGGACACGCCCCAGGCCGACAGAAAGCGCCGGGCUCCGGGGACAAUACCCUGCGGGCAGCCCUAACGUUUAAGAAGUGAGCAGAGCAAAAGGACCCUAAAGAGGAAAAUGAGAAGGAUCCAUCAGGUAGUCUAGGAGGAAGUGAUGUUUCAAAAAACUGUACCCAGAUUCGCAGAAAGUUUUCUUCUGGGAUAGCCUUUCGUUCUGUGCAACCGCCUUUUCCGGUUAAGGAGUAAUCUGCUCUUUUUCAGUUAAGGAUCAUCUCGAUGUGGCAGGGAGCGCUCAUGUGUGGGUGAGUCCGACCAUGAGCCCUGCAAGUUCUGUGCCUUGGGGGCUUUGUUCGCCUGGAUGUGCUCAAUAACCAGAGAAUGGACAUCUAAACCCUUGAAGUUCAGCAUUAUUUUCUGCGUUUUUCAGCCUGUGCAGUAAAAAUUCAGCGCUCUUCCUGGGCCACCGACCCUGUGUCCAGCCCCACUGUUUGGCCCGGGCACACCUCCCAGUGCCACUAUUGUAGCAACGGAAUGGCACACAUUGCUUCUGUAAAGCAACAUCCUUUAGAUACUUGGUGGCUUUUCGGAGAUGCGUACCCCUGAUGGCCUGGGCAGUUUCAUCUGCGUUCUUAAAGUGAACACGAAGAUUUGAACCUCUUGAUUUGCAUGAUUUUGUAGGGUUUUCUGGGUCAAGUGAAUUACAAACAUUCUCAGAGGUCACCUCAAGACGCUUAGGGGAAAAGCUAUCUGUUGCAUUUAGUAAUUGUGUGGUCACUAGUGACCUUAAUCUUGGUAAGAGCCAUUUUAGUGGAAGCAGAGGUCAGAGUCUCCUUUCCUCUUUUCCUUUCUUCUCCUUCCCUAUAGCUAUUAGAUAUUUCUCGAGCUCUCCGUCAUUUCUGAAGAUGUAGAAAUGAAAGCUACACUCUUGCCUGCUCUUACGCAGCUCACAAUCUUGUGUUAAAACGUGGUUGUGAAAUGGGGAAUUACGGGGCCGCAUGGAAGGACCACCCAACACAAACUGUUGUGGUCAUGGGAGGCUGCUGGGAGACAGUGAAGAGGUGUGACUCCUUUGAGGAGUAAGGGAAGUGUGUUACAUAGGGAAGAUGAACGGGAUCACAUCUGAGAAGCCAGAGAACUUGGCUAGUUCAGGAAACUGAGGGUACUUUGUGUGUCAGGAAUAAAAGGAAAGGAAAGGAAAACGGGUCCAGCCAUGAGGCUUCGGUGUGUGCGGUUAGGAGUUUGGAUUUCAGCCUGACCCCUUUCAAGGGGAGACACGUAAAGGAUUUGGAGCAGAUGGCUGAUCCGCUUCAUUCCCCAGGCCAGAGAGAAAGCUCAUGAGGAGGAGACUAGAAGCAAGAUGUUACAAGAACCCAGCUACGCAAUAAUGAGGGUUCAGCAACAGCAGCGGGGAAUGAUGGAAUGAAUCAAAACCAGCAGACCCUGAUACUUGGUUUUGUGUGGGAGAGGUGGAAAUGGGAAAAGAAAAAGCCUGCUGGCUGCCUUGGGUGACCAAACCGGGGGUGGGGGGAGGGGAGGACAUGAAGGAUAAUCUCAGUUUGGGAUAUGUUAAGAUUAAGAUGUCUAAAACAGACUUGAAUAUGUGGAUCUGGGGCUCAAGAAAAAGACCUGCGCUAUGUACCAGAUACAUGAAUAGUCAGCCCACAAAUUGGUUGAGGUCAUACCACGUACAGGAAGGAUCUCUCUUGGGAAGAAUAUGUAAAGUGAAAUAGGGAUUGAGCAGGAAGUCCCCCAUGUCUUAGCUCAUCAGACUAACAAAAAUACCAAAGACUGGGAAGCUUGAAGAACAAACAUUUACUUCUCACAUUCUGGAGGCCGGGAAGUCCAAGAUCAAGGCACCAGCGGAUUGAGCAUCUGGUGAGGGCCCACUCACUAGUUCAUAGAUGGCCCUCUUCUCACUAUGUCUUUGUGUGGUGGAAGGAGGGAGAGAGCUCUCUGGGCCCUCUUUUAAAGGACCCUAAUCCCAUUCAUGAGGACCCCACCCUCAUGACCCACAUCUCCUAAAAGCCACCUCCCAAAACCAUCACAUUAGGGAUUAGGUUUCAACAUGUGAAUUGGCAGGGCAGGGAGCGAGUAGCAGGGGCGACCCCAGGCACAAACUUUCACUCAAUAGCACCCUGGUAAUACCAACAUUUAAGGAAUGGUAAAGGAAGAGGCAUUUACAAAGAUCUGCUAGAAAACUGGGAAGAAAAUUAGAGCAUUUUAAAGGAAGUUAAUAGCAAAUGAGAAAAUUCAAAGAACUGAGGUGUUCACAACAUCAAAUGCUGCAGAAAUGAAAUGGAAUGAUGGAUACAGAGAUUUGUCUAUUGCAAAGUACACAAAUGGGUAAAUUAUAGAAUGAGAAUAAGAAAAUGCCCAAUACACAAGAAAAAUGCACAUUCAUUCUAGGAAUCGGGGAAAUGGGAAUUAAACAAAUAAUGAUCAUAUUACACAUUAAAUUGGAAAAAAAUAACUUGUUAGAUUCCAGUGAUGAAAAAAUUAGGGGAAACCAGACAUAAUGUUUAUGGGAACAUAAAUUGUGCAGUCUUUUUGGAGGGAAAUUUGGUGUUUCCUGUCAAAAUUUUAACUAAUACCCGUGGUACUUUGUUCUACUUGUAAUAAUCUAUAUACAAACAUACUGGCUCAAUGGCACGGGAUAAAUGAAACAUAAAAUGAUGUUCAUUACAACAUAAUUUAUGGGUUAUUUAUACAUCAUUUAUAAUGAAAGAAGUUGGAAAUAACUUACAAAUACCAACCAAUAGGAAGCUGGAUGAAAAAUUAUGGUAUAAACACGUUCCUGGGAAAAUAUGGAACCAUAAUACAGAAUGAGACAGAACAGAAUGUAUCAAUCUUUUUUUUUUAAGAUUUUAUUUCUUUAUUUGACAGAAAGAGGCAGCCAGCAAGAGAGGGAACACAAGCAGGGGGAGUGGGAGAGGAAGAAGCAGGCUCCCAGCAGAGGAGCCUGACGUAGGGCUCGAUCCCAGAACGCCA